rnacentral:rRNA from 1 species
UACGGGGGGGGCAAGCGUUGUUCGGAAUUACUGGGCGUAAAGGGCUCGUAGGCGGCCAACUAAGUCAGACGUGAAAUCCCUCGGCUUAACCGGGGAACUGCAUCUGAUACUGGAUGGCUUGAGAUUGGGAGAGGGAUGCGGAAUUCCAGGUGUAGCGGUGAAAUGCGUAGAUAUCUGGAGGAACACCGGUGGCGAAAGCGGCUUCCUGGACCAGUACCGACGUUCAGGCACGAAAGCGUGGGGAGCAAACAGG